GAUCUGUGUGCUCUUAUCACCAAUCAGUUCAGACCUGGUUGAUUUUGUACUUUGGAACUGUACCUUGGAUGGUUUUGUUUAUUAAAAGAGAAACCUGAAGUACUC
rnacentral:misc_RNA from 1 species